rnacentral:rRNA from 1 species
AGCGAACGCUGGCGGCAGGCCUAACACAUGCAAGUCGAACGAACCUUUCGGGGUUAGUGGCGGACGGGUGAGUAACACGUGGGAACGUGCCUUUAGGUUCGGAAUAACUCAGGGAAACUUGUGCUAAUACCGAAUGUGCCCUUCGGGGGAAAGAUUAAUCGCCUUUAGAGCGGCCCGCGUCUGAUUAGCUAGUUGGUUGAGGUAAUGGCUCACCAAGGCGACGAUCAGUAGCUGGUCUGAGAGGAUGAUCAGCCACAUUGGGACUGAGACACGGCCCAAACCCCUCGGGGGGGCGCGGGGGGGGAAUCUUGCGCAGUGGGCGAGCGCCUGACGCCCCCUUGCCGCGGAAAUGUUAAGGCUUUUGGGUUUGAAAAUUUCUUCCCCCGGGAGCAAUAAUGACGGCCCCGGGAGAAGAACCCCCGGCUAACUUCGCG